UUUUAGACCGAUAACGGGCUUCGUUGAUGUCGAAGUUAGAGGAUAAAGUAGAUACUAAUGU
rnacentral:tRNA from 1 species